rnacentral:rRNA from 1 species
UACGGAGGGUGCAAACGUUGCUCGGAAUCAUUGGGCGUAAAGCGCACGUAGGCGGCGAAGCAAGUUGGGUGUGAAAGCCCUGGGCUCAACCCAGGAAGUGCAUUCAAAACUGCUUCGCUUGAAUCUCGGAGGGGGUCAGAGAAUUCCCGGUGUAGAGGUGAAAUUCGUAGAUAUUGGGAAGAACACCGAUGGCGAAGGCAGCCAUCUGGACCGACACUGACGCUGAGGCGCGAAAGCGUGGGGAGCAAACAGG